rnacentral:tRNA from 1 species
UAUUAUUACUUUGGCAGAUUAGUGUAAUGAAUUUAGAAUUCAUUUAUGUAAGUAUUUUACAAGUAAUA